AUGGCGGCCGGAGCCCUGGGCCUGGCCCUCGUCGCGGCGCUCGCGGUCGCGCUGGCGGGGGCCAACUCCGAGGGCGACGCGCUCUCGGCGCUGCGCCGCAGCCUGCGGGACCCCGGCGGCGUGCUGCAGAGCUGGGACCCCACCCUCGUCAACCCCUGCACCUGGUUCCACGUCACCUGCGACCGCGACAACCGCGUCACCCGCCUAGAUCUUGGUAAUUUGAACUUAUCUGGUCAUCUGGUGCCCGAGCUUGGUAAAUUGGAGCAUUUGCAAUACCUGGAACUUUACAAAAAUAAUAUUGAAGGAACGAUCCCGUCGGAACUUGGUGAUUUGAAGAACCUAAUUAGCUUGGACUUGUACAAGAACAAUGUUUCAGGGACUAUACCUCCAACACUUGGGAAGUUAAAGUCCCUUGUAUUCUUGCGGCUCAACGGCAAUCGUUUGACUGGACCAAUUCCAAGGGAGCUGGCUGGAAUAUCUAGCCUCAAAGUUGUUGAUAUUUCUGGUAAUAAUCUGUGUGGAACAAUUCCCACGACUGGACCAUUUGAGCACAUUCCUCUCAGCAACUUCGAGAGGAACCCACGCUUGGAAGGCCCAGAGCUACAAGGCCUGGCUGUAUAUGAAACCAACUGCUAA
rnacentral:rRNA from 1 species